UUAAUAGUAAUAUCUGCUCAAUGAAUAUUAAAUAGCCGCAUUUGUGCUAAGGUAGCAUAAUCACUUGUCUUUUAAAUAAAGACUAGAACAAAAGAUAUAAUAUUUCAAUUUAUUUCUUAUAUUUAUAUAAUUUAAAUUAUACUAUAUAUAAAAAUAUGUAUAUAAAAAAGAAAGACGACAAGACCCUAUUGAACUUAACUUAAGUUAAACUGGGGCAGUAAAUUAAUGAUUAUUUUAAAUACAUUAUGACAAAAAUAAUCUAAUAAAAUUAAUUAUAUUCAGUUACCAUAGGGAUAACAGCGUAAUUAUUUACUAAAGUUCUUAUAAAAAAAAAUGGAUUGCGACCUCGAUGUUGAAUUAAUAACCUAUUUAAAGCAAAAAUCAAAAAAGGAGGUCUGUUCGACCUUUAAAAAAUUACAUUAUUUGAGUUCAGACCGGUAUAAGCCAGGUCGGUUUCUAUCUUCUAUAUAUCUUUUUACAGUACGAAAGGACCUAAAAACAAUUUAUAUAAUUGGCAGAUUAAUGCAUUAGAAUUAGAAUCUAAUAAAACUGAA
rnacentral:rRNA from 1 species